GUUCCCAUAGUUGAAGUACAACGGUGGUUUUUCAAGUCAUUGGUCUCGGUUGAAGUCCGGGUGGGAAUU
rnacentral:tRNA from 1 species